UACAGAGGGUGCAAGCGUUGUUCGGAAUCAUUGGGCGUAAAGGGCGUGUAGGCGGUUUGUUAAGUCACGUGUGAAAUCCCUCGGCUCAACCGGGGAACGACGCAUGAAACUGGCAAGCUAGAGUACCAAAGAGGGUGGUGGAAUUCCCCGGUGUAGCGGUGAAAUGCGUAGAUAUCGGGGAGGAACACCCUGUGGGCGAAGGCGG
rnacentral:rRNA from 1 species